rnacentral:lncRNA from 1 species
ACAAAAACAACAUCACCACUCUUUCCAUCUCAAACCAAAAGUACUCUGUUCUCCAUAUAGAUCAAACAUCCAACACUUUAACACUUACCAAACCAGACCUUAUAGGUUCUUUUUGCUCCUCUGUAUUCACAAACACAACCUUACCUCCCGAAACUUUCGAGCUUUCACCUACCUACAAGAGCGUCAACGUAUUCUACCAAUGCUCCUCUUUGCCUCCUGACCUUUCUAGCUAUACAUGUCCCAAGAUUGGUCCAAUCUCAGUGUCUGAAGCCCCUGUAAAAACUCCUGAGAGCUGCCGUUCCAGUUUCACCGUGAAUGUUCCUACAAGUUUUGUUACUACAGAGAAAGAGUUGAAUGUGACCAAUUUGGAAAGUGUUUUAAGAAAAGGAUUUGAGGUGAAGGUAGU